GAUGAACGCUGGCGGCGUGCCUAAUACAUGCGAGUCGAGCGAACGGACGAGAAGCUUGCUUCUCUGAUGUUAGCGGCGGACGGGUGAGUAACACGUGGAUAACCUACCUAUAGGACUGGGAUAACUUCGGGAAACCGUAGCUAAUACCGGAUAAUAUUUUGAACCGCAUGGUUCAAAAGUGAAAGACGGUCUUGCUGUCACUUAUAGAUGGAUCCGCGCUGCAUUAGCUAGUUGGUAAGGUAACGGCUUACCAAGGCAACGAUGCAUAGCCGACCUGAGAGGGUGAUCGGCCACACUGGAACUGAGACACGGUCCAGACUCCUACGGGAGGCAGCAGUAGGGAAUCUUCCGCAAUGGGCGAAAGCCUGACGGAGCAACGCCGCGUGAGUGAUGAAGGUCUUCGGAUCGUAAAACUCUGUUAUUAGGGAAGAACAUAUGUGUAAGUAACUGUGCACAUCUUGACGGUACCUAAUCAGAAAGCCACGGCUAACUACGUG
rnacentral:rRNA from 1 species